GACGUAGGGGGCCAGCGUUGCUCGGAAUUACUGGGCGUAAAGGGUUCGUAGGCGGUGCGGCAAGUCGGUAGUGAAAUCUCCAGGCUUAACUUGGAGGCUGCUGCCGAAACUGCUGUGCUAGAGUGCAGGAGAGGCGAGUGGAAUUACAGGUGUAGCGGUGAAAUGCGUAGAUAUCUGUAGGAACACCCGUGGCGAAGGCGGCUCGCUGGACUGCAACUGACACUGAUGAACGAAAGCCAGGGGAGCAAACGGG
rnacentral:rRNA from 1 species